UCCUCAGCCAAUGGCAGCAAGAGGGCAACUGACAACAACCCCAUCCCACCGCAGAGAGGGUACAUUGAUAAUAAAUCAACGGUGUGCCGGCGGAUGUCGAGAAGUGGAGUUUAAACCGAGAAAAAGUCAGUUUAGCCAUCUUUUGAUGACAUUUUAUAGUCGACAUCGCUGUUACGCAGUGGAUGCAUUGAACUAAGGAAAGUCACAAGGAGACGUAGCGGGUGAUAUACGCGCAAAUAAAGAGUUUUCUGAAAACAUAAUGUAUGCACAGUAUAAUAGUGAAUACCUAGUCCUAUUUCUCAUUUAAAUAUAUAGGCCUAUGUAUAUCUAUAUCUUAGUGCAUUUUCACUGAGUGCGCAUAAAAGUCAUCCAAUAAUGUUAUUUCUAUUUUUCAGAUUGACAUUUUCAAAAGUUCCAGACAAUCGAGGAAAAUCCAAACAUCCUAACAUGAAUCUGCGGACUUAAUGAGGCACCGAACAAAACAAAUUAUAACGAACUGUUUAUAAUUCUGUAUGCUGUUAAACACUGUGUCAAAAUGAAACGUGUCAAAAAGACAGUGGGGAAAAAUCGCCUGGACUGAAGCAGGGCUCUCCAUGUGAAGGCUGCACUGUCCUCUCACAUUCCAGCGCGUCGCUAACCAGGGGGAUUUAGAGCGACUUAUUUUCUUAAAACUGUCCUCCCAUCCGCAGAGCCCGCCAGUCUGCUCACAUCCGCCUGAUACGGGGCCUGCACCAAAAUUCACCCAGAAUAUUUACUGGGGAGUUCCCACCGAAAGACACCGAGCAGCCGAGGACUAUUUAAAGGCACCGGAGCUGCAGUGUGCAUACACCCAGAGAUGAGGAGAAAUUAAAGAAAAGGAGGAGUGGGGGUGGGGGUGGAGAGAGACAAAUAUAGGCCGGUACUGCUAAUGAAGACUUUCACUUAUUUCACCUGGCACGCGUUCUGCAAGAAGACGAUGUGAAGAUAAAUAUGAAGAUUUCGAUGAAAGGAAGCGGCUGAAUGGAUCAUAACCCCGGAUUUCUUUUAACCAUCAUCCGCAGAGGAAAAGUUUGGCUGUGAGUCUGUGAGACUGUUUGGAGACGAGGAACAACACAUCCAGGAGUUCACCGACAAACAAACGGAUGCAAUUAAACACACUCGCCUUCAGAUCAUCAAUGAGGAGGCAAAGUCAAGACUGGUGGAAAAACCAACAAGGACAAA